UGGGGAAUCUUGCGCAAUGGGCGAAAGCCUGACGCAGCGACGCCGCGUGGGGGAAGAAGGCCUUCGGGUUGUAAACCUCUUUCAGUAGGGACGAAGCUACUCGGGUGAAUAGCCCAGAGGGUGACGGUACCUACAGAAGAAGCCCCGGCUAACUACGUGCCAGCAGCCGCGGUAAUACGUAGGGGGCAAGCGUUGUCCGGAUUUAUUGGGCGUAAAGAGCGUGUAGGCGGCUAGGGUAGGGUCCGCUGUUAAAAACUCGAGGCUUAACCUCGAGAGGUCGGUGGAAACCAUCUAGCUAGAGUCCGGAAGAGGAGAGUGGAAUUCCCGGUGUAGCGGUGAAAUGCGCAGAUAUCGGGAAGAACACCCGUGGCGAAGGCGGCUCUCUGGGACGGUACUGACGCUGAGACGCGAAAGCGUGGGGAGCGAACAGGAUUAGAUACCCUGGUAGUCCACGCCGUAAACGAUGGGUGCUAGGUGUGGGCGGUGUCGACUCCGUCCGUGCCGAAGCUAACGCAUUAAGCACCCCGCCUGGGGAGUACGGCCGCAA
rnacentral:rRNA from 1 species